AUUGAACGCUGGCGGCAUGCCUUACACAUGCAAGUCGAACGGUAACAGGUUAAGCUGACGAGUGGCGAACGGGUGAGUAAUGUAUCGGAACGUGCCCAGUCGUGGGGGAUAACUGCUCGAAAGAGCAGCUAAUACCGCAUACGACCUGAGGGUGAAAGCGGGGGAUCGCAAGACCUCGCGCGAUUGGAGCGGCCGAUAUCAGAUUAGGUAGUUGGUGAGGUAAAGGCUCACCAAGCCGACGAUCUGUAGCUGGUCUGAGAGGACGACCAGCCACGCUGGGACUGAGACACGGCCCAGACUGCUACGGGAGGCAGCAGUGGGGAAUUUUGGACAAUGGGCGCAAGCCUGAUCCAGCCAUGCCGCGUGCGGGAAGAAGGCCUUCGGGUUGUAAGCCGCUUUUGUCAGGGAAGAAAAGGUUCUGGCUAAUACCUGGGACUCAUGACGGUACCUGAAGAAUAAGCACCGGCUAACUACGUGCCAGCAGCCGCCGCAGUAA
rnacentral:rRNA from 1 species